UUGAAAUUAUAGGUGACGGUUGUAGCUGGCCUUUCGGGGCAUGUGCACACCCGAGCCCUUAAUCCACACACACCUGUGAACCCAAUGUAAGGGCCCGUAAAAAGGUCUUUAUGUCUUAUCACCAACCUUUAUGUCUCAUAGAAUGUAAAUCUAUAUCCUCGCCUUUAAAAGCGUUGAUAAACUUAUA
rnacentral:misc_RNA from 1 species